rnacentral:rRNA from 1 species
AUACGUGGAGGGCAAGCGUUAUUCGGAAUCACUGGGCGUAAAGCGCGCGCAGGCGGGCUGAUAAGUUGGAUGUGAAAGCCUACGGCUCAACCGUAGAACUGCAUCCAAAACUGUCAGUCUAGGGUGUGGGAGAGGAAGAUGGAAUUAGUUGUGUAGGGGUAAAAUCCGUAGAGAUAACUAGGAAUACCAAAAGCGAAGGCAAUCUUCUGGAACACUACUGACGCUGAGGCGCGAAGGCGUGGGGAGCAAACAGGAUUAGAAACCCUAGUAGUCC